rnacentral:rRNA from 1 species
GUCGAGCGGCAGCGACACAUUGAACCUUCGGGGGAUUUGUUGGGCGGCGAGCGGCGGACGGGUGAGUAAUGCCUAGGAAAUUGCCCUGAUGUGGGGGAUAACCAUUGGAAACGAUGGCUAAUACCGCAUGAUGCCUACGGGCCAAAGAGGGGGACCUUCGGGCCUCUCGCGUCAGGAUAUGCCUAGGUGGGAUUAGCUAGUUGGUGAGGUAAGGGCUCACCAAGGCGACGAUCCCUAGCUGGUCUGAGAGGAUGAUCAGCCACACUGGAACUGAGACACGGUCCAGACUCCUACGGGAGGCAGCAGUGGGGAAUAUUGCACAAUGGGCGCAAGCCUGAUGCAGCCAUGCCGCGUGUAUGAAGAAGGCCUUCGGGUUGUAAAGUACUUUCAGUAGGGAGGAAGGUUCAUGCGUUAAUAGCGUAUGGAUUUGACGUUACCUACAGAAGAAGCACCGGCUAACUCCGUGCCAGCAGCCGCGGUAAUACGGAGGGUGCGAGCGUUAAUCGGAAUUACUGGGCGUAAAGCGCAUGCAGGUGGUUAGUUAAGUCAGAUGUGAAAGCCCGGGGCUCAACCUCGGAAUUGCAUUUGAAACUGGCUGACUAGAGUACUGUAGAGGGGGGUAGAAUUUCA